GAUGAACGCUAGCUACAGGCUUAACACAUGCAAGUCGAGGGGUAGCAGGGUAGCAAUACCGCUGACGACCGGCGCACGGGUGAGUAACACGUAUCCAACCUUCCCAUAACUCGGGGAUAGCCUUUCGAAAGAAAGAUUAAUACCCGAUAGUACUUUUUCAAGGCAUCUUGAGAAAGUUAAAGAUUUAUUGGUUAUGGAUGGGGAUGCGUUCCAUUAGAUAGUUGGUGAGGUAACGGCUCACCAAGUCUUCGAUGGAUAGGGGUUCUGAGAGGCAGGUCCCCCACAUUGGUACUGAGACACGGACCAAAAUCCUACGGGAGGCAGCAGUGAGGAAUAUUGGUCAAUGGGCGAGAGCCUGAACCAGCCAAGUAGCGUGAAGGAUGAAGGUCCUAUGGAUUGUAAACUUCUUUUAUAGUAGAAUAAAGUGACCUACGUGUAGGUUUUUGUAUGUAUACUAUGAAUAAGGAUCGGCUAACUCCGUGCCAGCAGCCGCAGUAA
rnacentral:rRNA from 1 species